UACGUAGGUGGCAAGCGUUGUCCGGAAUUAUUGGGCGUAAAGCGCGCGCAGGCGGUCCCUUAAGUCUGAUGUGAAAGCCCACGGCUCAACCGUGGAGGGUCAUUGGAAACUGGGGGACUUGAGUACAGAAGAGGAAAGCGGAAUUCCACGUGUAGCGGUGAAAUGCGUAGAGAUGUGGAGGAACACCAGUGGCGAAGGCGGCUUUCUGGUCUGUAACUGGCGCUGAGGCGCGAAAGCGUGGGGAGCAAACAGG
rnacentral:rRNA from 1 species